rnacentral:lncRNA from 12 species
AAGGGACCCCACAGAUCCCAAAGGGACCCCACGGACCCCAAAGGGACCCCGCAGACCCAUCGAGCACUGGCACACCCUGGUGGAGGUCAGAGCCCAAAAAAACCCAAAAAAACCCCAAAAAAACCCCAAAAAAACCCCAAAAACAGCCCAAAAAAACCCCAAAAACAGCCCGGGACCCCAUAGAGACCCCAAAGGGACCCCACAGAUCCCAAAGGGACCCCACGGACCCCAAAGGGACCCCGCAGACCCAUCGAGCACUGGCACACCCUGGUGGAGGUCAGAGCCCAAAAAAACCCAAAAAAACCCCAAAAAAACCCCAAAAAAACCCCAAAAACAGCCCAAAAAAACCCCAAAAACAGCCCGGGACCCCAUAGAGACCCCAAAGGGACCCCACAGAUCCCAAUCUCCGUGUCCGUCUGUCCGUCACUGUCCCUCUGUCCUCCCCCCUGUCCGUCUGUCCCUCUGUCCCUGCGUUCCUGUGUCCAUCCCCGUCCGUGCGUCCGUCUGUCCCCGUGUCCGUCUGUCCCCAUGUCCCCGUGUCCGUCUGUCCGUCUGUCCGUCUGUCCCUGUAUACCCGUGUCCGUGUGUCCCCGUGUCCAUCUGUCCCUCUGUCCCCGUGUCCGUCUGUCCCCGUGUCCGUGUGUCCCCGUGUCCGUCUGUCCCCAUGUCCCCGUGUCCGUCUGUCCGUCUGUCCGUCUGUCCCUGUAUACCCGUGUCCGUGUGUCCCCGUGUCCAUCUGUCCCUAAUGCCCCGUGUCCGUCUGUCCCCGUGUCCGUGUGUCCCCGUGUCCGUCUGUCCCCAUGUCCCCGUGUCCGUCUGUCCGUCUGUCCGUCUGUCCCUGUAUACCCGUGUCCGUGUGUCCCCGUGUCCGUCUGUCCGUCUGUCCCCGUGUCCGUCUGUCCCCGUGUCCGUCUGUCCGUCUGUCCCCCAGGAGAAGGCUCUGUCCAAGGCCCCGCGGGACAAGCCGGCGCUGGGGGAGCCGCUGGGCCCCCACUGAGCUGUGAGCGCCCGACUGGGAGGGACUGGGAGGGACUGGGAGGGACUGGGAGUUCCCAUUUUCAUACUGGGAGACCAUACUGGGGGGUACUGGGCCAUACUGGGAGCUCACUUUUUCAUACUGGGAGAUCAGACUGGGCCAUACUGGGCUUCUUUUCUCAUACUGGGACUUGCCAUUUUCAUGCUGGACGGACACUGGGCCAUACUGGGCCAUACUGGGAGUUCACUUUUUCAUCCUGGGACCCCCCUGGGCUGUACUGGGCUAUACUGGGAGUCCCUUGGGCCAUACUGGUCCAUACUGGUCCAUACCAAUGCACACUGGUCCAUACCACCCCAUAGCGGUCCAUACUGGUUUAUACUGGCCCAUAACAAUCCAUACUGGUUUAUACUGGUCCAUACCGAUCCAUACCAUUCCAUACUGGUCCAUACUGGUCCGUAUUUGUCCAUACCGGCUUAUACUGGUCCGUACCCAUCCAUACUGGUCCAUACUGGUUUAUACUGGUCCGUACCCAUCCAUACUGGUCCAUUACCAUCCGUACUGGUCCCUACUGGUCCAUACUGGUCCAUGCCUUUCCAUACUGGCCAUACUGGUCCAUACCGGUCCAUACUGGUCCAUACUGGUCCAUACUGGUCCACACCAUUCCAUACUGGUCCGUACUGGUUUAUACUGGUCCAUGCCAUUCUGUACUGGUCC